rnacentral:rRNA from 1 species
UACGUAGGGUGCGAGCGUUGUCCGGAAUUAUUGGGCGUAAAGGGCUCGUAGGCGGUUUGUCGCGUCGGGAGUGAAAACCCAGGGCUUAACCCUGGGCUGGCUUUCGAUACGGGCAGACUAGAGGUAUGCAGGGGAGAGCGGAAUUCCUGGUGUAGCGGUGAAAUGCGCAGAUAUCAGGAGGAACACCGGUGGCGAAGGCGGUUCUCUGGGCAGUACCUGACGCUGAGGAGCGAAAGUGUGGGGAGCGAACAGG